rnacentral:rRNA from 1 species
CACGUAGGGUGCGAGCGUUGUCCGGAAUUAUUGGGCGUAAAGAGCUCGUAGGCGGUGUGUCGCGUCGGCCGUGAAAACCUGCAGCUUAACUGUGGGCUUGCGGUCGAUACGGGCAUCACUGGAGUUCGGCAGGGGAGACUGGAAUUCCUGGUGUAGCGGUGAAAUGCGCAGAUAUCAGGAGGAACACCGGUGGCGAAGGCGGGUCUCUGGGCCGAUACUGACGCUGAGGAGCGAAAACGUGGGGAGCGAACAGG